UAAGAGGUCCCGCCUGCCCUGUGACUAGUUGUUUAACGGCCGCGGUAUUUUGACCGUGCGAAGGUAGCGCAAUCACUUGUCUUUUAAAUGAAGACCCGUAUGAAUGGCAUAACGAGGGCUUAGCUGUCUCCUCUUUCCAGUCAAUGAAGUUGAUCUUCCCGUGCAGAAGCGGGAAUAUAUUCAUAAGACGAGAAGACCCUAUGGAGCUUUAGACACGAAAGCAGCCCACGUUGAGCACCCCAAAAUAAAGGACUAAACCAAGUGGGCUCUGCCCUAAUGUCUUUGGUUGGGGCGACCGCGGGGAAUUAAAGAACCCCCACGUGGAAUGGGAACACUUUUCCUACAACUGAGAGCUACAGCUCUAGAAAACAGAAUUUCUGACCAAUAAGAUCCGGCAAUGCCGAUCAACGGACCGAGUUACCCUAGGGAUAACAGCGCAAUCCUCUUUUAGAGCCCAUAUCGACAAGGGGGUUUACGACCUCGAUGUUGGAUCAGGACAUCCUAAUGGUGCAGCCGCUAUUAAGGGUUCGUUUGUUCAACG
rnacentral:rRNA from 1 species